GCUGGGGCCUCGCUUCCCUUGCGGGCUGCUCCUCCGGCGCUGGGUGGUCCCCGCUUUCGGGCGGGUGCCGGCGGGGAAUACGGGGGCCCGGGCGGGGGCUCCGGAUGGUGGCGGCUGUGGGUGUGUGCAUGAGAUUGGGCGCGAGUCUGGAGCUGAGGGGAGGGCUAGGAGACCAGAGACUGGCUGGUCUACUACGUGAUGCAACAGUGUAUCGCCUAGUCGCGCCCCGGUUCCGGAGUUGUGGGAGAGAAAGGACCCCUUUCCUAUUUUCCCUUUAAAGGGAUUCUUUUAGCCAUGGUGUUUCUCGUCUGCCUGCCUCCCUCUCCGCGAGCACACCUUUCCUCUCGUGACAGUCGAGACAGGCGCCGAGAGCGGGGGUUUCCUCCCGGCUCCCCCUCGCCGAGGGGGCUACCAGGGCAUGGGAAUUGUUCGCCCGAGCGCGCUGUCACACGGCUGUAGAAGCGGGUCAAAAAUAAAAGGGUGGGAUUUCCAUGGUGGCUUCCCCAGUGCAUUGUGAGAUCUCAGACGCCCCCAGGCACCCACCCGGCUGACCCGGCCCUGCCCAGGAUGUGGACAAAAGCCCUAGAUACACACACAAAGUUUUCACAAGGCCCCCUUGUCGUGGUGGGUGGAAGUAUUAAAAUGCUCUGCGGUUGGAAGACCAGGGGUGGCGAACCGAGGAGGCGGGGGCGCGAGGAAGAGGAAGGGAGGGCGGGUGCGUGGAGACCCGGGUGCCCGGCGGCUCGGAUCGAGGGGAUGCCCCCGCCCCGAGUUCGCGGGCCGGACAGGGGCCGCGCCUGCUGGGGUGCAAGACAGUUCGCGACUCGGAGCCGGACUUUGAGGGUGCGGUUUCAGUCGGUGCUCCGCAUCCCCGAGUGAAAUGCGGGGGGGGGGGGGGGGAAGGGGCGGCGGCGGUUCCUUUUUACUGAAAGGAGCGGAGCCGGGUGGGAAAGGCGGAGUCCUCUUUCUCUUUCCCCAUUUCUUUGUCGAUGUUCAAAGUCCACUUUCUCACCGCUGGUAUUGGGGGCGCCUCUAGCGAGGUUUUUCCCGCUCUACCAUCCCCUUUUCCUUUUCUCAUCUCCUUGCCACAACUGGGUAGCUGCAGGUGGUGGCUUCAGAGGUCUUGUAGUUAGGCAUGAAAGUCUUACAGAGAUACUGGAGGCUCUGAAGUCCCGGGAAUGCAAGGCUGUGCCCUGACUCCCAGGUCUUCCUCUAGGUCCUCUCCAGAUACUGGCGCCUUUUGCCGCCCCUGCCCCCACCUCGCCCGGGGAAGUUCGCGGGGACCCUCUGCUUGUUCUAACGCGGUUUGGUGGCUCUGCUGCCGAGGUGUUUUCAAAGAUGUUCUUCACAGUGACAAUGUACUGUGGUCAUAUUGAAGUGUAACUGUGCGUCUUUUAAGCGUUUGAUACCCUAAUAUUUAAUGACAUACGCUUAAGAAUUCAGGUCUCCUCUUGCACACAAAUUGUGCUCUUGAUAAUUAGUGGUCGUGGAUUGUUGUUACAGAGGGAAUUUACAUAGGCUGUGCUAAUCCCUUUAUUUUGCUGGUGAGGAAAUUGAGGCCCAGAAAGGUCAAGUUUAUCUGAUUAAAUUACUCCCACCUCUCUCCCCCGUACCCACACUAUACUUAUUUCCAGGGCACAGAUUCCGAUAACUAAAAUAACAGUAUCUACUUUAGAUAAUUGGAGAGCGUCUGGGAAUGCAAAUUCGGGGGAGGGGUAGUGUUCAGUAACGCCUAUUGCUGGUGCAUUCUUGAGGCCUGGGGGAGGUGGAAUAAAUAAUUUGCUGCACAUUUUCUAUAAAUUAGUUAGUUCAUAUAUGUCAGUUAAAUGGGAACAGUAUGUGGAUUUAAGAUUUAGCUGUGCGGCCAUGAUCAUAUCCAACACCAGGUCUGCCAACCAGAUGUGAGCUUAAUCCCACAGAAUUCUUGUGUAAGACCUCUCUUAUUCAAAUAAUAGAGGAGAUUUUUAAAAGUGUAUGUGUACAGAGGAGGUAACUGCUUUCUCUGCACAUUCCCUGUUGUCACUGGAAUUAAGAUUAAAUUACAGUUAAAAACAGAAGACUUUUUUGGGACUGAGUUGUGGUAUGAGUGAUCAAGAGUUGACUACAGAGUUGAAAAGUCUUUUCAUACAUUUCCAAGGAAUUGUUGAAUUGUUUCACUUUGUUCAUUCAGCUCUUGUUUUAACUGUGGUGCCUGUAGUUAUGUCUUCAAAACAAUCCCGGUGAAGGCAGAAUAUUUCUCCAAACCCAGCUCCAAGGGAUCAACACUACAUCUUUCAUUCUAGAAUCCUCUGCCCCUCCUAUUCCUUUAUCUGUUCUCUGAUUUGAACAAAUGGAAGGGUGUGUUGAGAGAAAGGAAUCACUCCAAAAUUGAUUUGGAGUUUCCCUAGUUACUCGUAUAGAAUUAGACUUUUUUAAGUUGUUUAGGAAAACAUGAACAGACUCCUUUCCCUAUAAACUGCCUCUCCCAUCCAGAUUGAAGGAAAGUUCAAUUAGAAUAAUUUGCUCUCAUAAUUUUAGGUUUUCUUAAACUUGAACGUCUUAGUGUGACGUCCUAGGUAAAUACGAGAUUUUACUGGAGAAAAGUCCUUCUAUGUCAGAUGCAGUAUUUUCUGUCUUAUGAAGUGGUUAUAUUCAGUUAUAACCAUUUAAACCUUAAGGUUCAAUUCAGAUGUUUCUUUUUUUUUUUUAAGAUUUUAUUUAUUUAUUUGAGAGAGAGAAUGAGAGACAGCACGAGAGGGAGGAGGGUCAGAGGGAGAAGCAGACCCCCGCUGAGCAGGGAGCCCGAUGUGGGACUUGAUCCUGGGACUCCAGGAUCAUGACCUGAGCCGAAGGCAGUAGCUUAACCAACUGAGCCACACAGGCGCCCUCAAUUCAGAUGUUUCUUAAGUGGAUUUGUUGGCUGGAAAACACAGAGGCUUCAGUUUAGCAUGAUACUGUUUAUUUCUGUUCUCAUCAUCACCCCCUAGCUUCUCCAUUUUCUCGUGGAUGGUCUUGGUGCUUGGCUCUGAGAAGACCCUGAAGCGCAUCUGCUGUUCCCAGAAUGUAACUAAUGAUUAGCAAGAGCAUUUCUCCCCUAGGGAUGUGUCCACAUUUUGAAUGAGUUAGUAUUUUUGCAUCCAAGUCCCAGGGCAGCUAUUAUUUUUAUUUUAAACAGAGCAUGGUAAUUUGCUCUACCUGGGAAUCAGGCUUUAUAUAGCUGAUCCACUCUCUCUUAAGGUGUGAUGUUCAAGUUACAGAGUCGAGGAGGUGAAAGGAACUUAAAGAGGUUAUUUGGUUCAGCCUUUUUCCCAAUGUAGAAAUAUUUCCUACUUUAUCCCUAACAGAAGGUAUGUAUUUAAACUUUUCCGGUUGUGGAGAGUUUCCAUGAUAUCCUUCAAGAAACACGUUUAAUUGUUCUUUUAUCUCUUGAGCCAAAAGAAAUGGAAAGCCAAGUUCAUUCACUCAUGUAAAACUAUUAAUUGAGCACCUCUUGUAUGCUAGGUACUGUACUAGGAGCCAGGGUUACAGCAGUGGACAAGAGAGAAAAUUCUCUGUUUACCUGGAGCUUUUAUUUUUUGAGAUUUAGUGUCCAUGUGUAUUAAAGUGAUGAGCUUCAGUGGAGUAUGUAAGCCAUUUAGGGAGAAAGGAAAUUAUGUGCCUGUUGCUGAGUCAACAAUUAUGAUGCAGGUAAAGAUCUUGUCUGGGAAUCAUAGACAGUUCCUGAAGAUAUGGUCUGUUUUCAGCAGGAGGGUGGGGACUGACAAUGAAAUGUUAUUUUUCCUUGUUAUAAAAUUGCCAGUUACAUCUUGAGGUUGUAGCCCUCCGUGUGGAGGGCUUUGGCUCUUUUCUACCUGGAGAAAGAUUAAUGGAGCUAAGAAAUGUCCAGGGGGUGGCAAUCUAAAUGAUAAAGGGGCUGUCAUCUAGGGGGGAGUUUAAAAAAAAAAAACUCUUUAGUAAGUGGUAUAAAUGAUACACAUUGAGGCUCUAUAAGCAAUUAUUAAAGAAUGAAGGAAGUGUUUGAGGUACAGUAAUCUCCUUAAAUCUUUUGAAAGCUAUAGAUUUUAUCUUUUAAAAUAUCUUCUUUAAAAAUGAUAUGUUUACAUGACAAUGAAAAACAGACCCACGGAAUUGAUUAAAAGAAUGAAACUACCCAUUUCCCACCAUCCUGAUAUAAGAGCUCCUAGACUGUUAGUGUAUUUUCAUCGACUGUGUGAGAUUUACACAGGUGAGCAUAACCUAUCUCGUAUAAACUGCAACUUAGAAACCAAACUGUGUGCCUGGUAGACCCUGUCUGUUUGGACACUCAUAUAACGUAGGAACCAGAUGCUUAGUGCUUUCAAAGGGGCCACCCUGUAUUUGUAUCCAGACAAAGGAAUGAAUGAUUUGGUUGUCCUACUUUGAUUGAUUGCCAGAAGACCUAGUGUUUAUAUCCACUGAUGAUGCCACAGCUGAUAAUGAUCUUCGGGUUUAGACUCCGUGUGGGGCAGGCUACAAUCAGAACUUUCUAUGCCAGGGUUUCUCUUUAUAGGACCUUAAACUUGAUUGGGGGUGGGGUGGGUAGGGGCUUUGUUGGAUUUUAUAUAAUUUAUUGAAAACUGUCUUUCAUAGUGCUAGUUAGACCUGUCUUAACUGGGGUCAGUGAAGAAGAACCAUUAUUUAAGCAAAGACCCAGAAGAUCUAAAGCUUCUAUCCUGUUCCCCAAGGAGACCUACUUUACAAUUUAAUUGACAGCCCCCUUUGUUGUUGUUGCUGUUUUUUAAAUCCAGACUGACAGAAAACUCUCUUCAACUAAACAGUACCACCUCUGACCCACUCAGCCCAUCAAUGCAACCACUGUAAAACAUAAAAACAAUACCUGGGCUAAGGUGAUAGAGACAGGCUUCUAAAAAGAAUUUCCUGGGUGAUACGAAAUCAAAUUUGCAUCAUCAUAGGCCUGAUCUGAGGUAGAAAUCAGGAGUCUGUACCCUUAUAUAAUUGGAACCAAGGCAUUAGAACCAUCUUUUUUAGGAUCUAUGCCAGUGAGUGUGAGUGCCUUGUUCAAGUCAAAGGGUUCAGGAAGCUGACCUGUGUGGAUGCAUUCUCUCCCCCUGCUGAACUAUGACCGUGUGGGAUUGAGUGUGAUGUGUUGAUGGAGGGAGCAGGCUGAGGUGAAGAGGUUGAAAAGGCUUCAUGCUCCAAAAAGAAUGUCUUUGGUACCCGACAGGAAGAAGCUUUGUUCAUGCCCCCCCCCCUUUUUUUUUGCAUUUUAAAAAUUGUGAUAAAAAUACAUAUAACACAACAUAAAGUGUAGGCCUCUGAGAAGAGCUGAGCUGGCAGCUGGAGGCUGGGAAAGAAAAGCUGAGAUGUUCCCAGUAAAGGGCCUUGUGCUGGACCCUGAGGAGAUGAAAGGGAAGAUGUGUUGAGGAAGUGAUCUCCAUCCACCUCAUGAGCUUCCUCAUCUAUGUGGCCCUGCUGUGAGUCACACCUUUUAUCCUAAAGAAAUUGGACAGCGUAUGAAGAUGGGCAUCACAUGUGCAUGCAUGAUGUGAAGAACCCAGUUACAGUUUCUACUAUCUGCAAAUGAAUAGGCCCAGAAAGUUGUAAGAGACUCUUUGAUUGAAUAGAUGUAAAAAUUCUACUUGUUAAGAACAAAUUUGGUUCUGGUAACUGACCUUCAUAGCUAAAAUUUAAAACUACUUGUGAAGUAAAGACAUUUUGUAGUGAUAAUACACCCAUAUGCCUGUGGUGUUCAGCCUCUGGGAAUGUUGAUAUAAUUAUAAAUAAGGUCAAACUCCAUUCUCUAGCAAGUAUUAAUUAUAAGGGAAUUAUGUCUGCAAAAAAAAAAAGUGUACCUGUUUGUUUUGAUAAUUAAGUAACAUUACUUCGGGAUGAAUUUAUGAUUUCAUAAUUUUUUCUUAUAGAAGUAGAAUCACAAUAAUACAGAUAGCUUAGAAAUUGAAAAACAAAACAACCCCCAACAACCUAAACAUAUCAACAACAUUCUUAGCUUCCUAAUCCAUCUGCUUCAUCGGAUAUUUUUUCCAUUCUUUCUCUUAGCAGGUGCUGAAGUUAUGAUGUUGAGUAUUUGAGAUGCCAUCCCUGCUGCUCUUUAAAUUUCUUGGAAGGAUGAGUAAGCAGUAGGAUGAGUGAGGAAGCAAAAGGAUGAGUAAGAAAGGUGAGGUAGAAAAGUGUGCCAAGCCAGGGGAAUAGCAUGUGCAAAGCUCUGGGUGUGAGGCGGAGCCUCUUAAGAAAAUCCAGCUAUGACAUCAGCAUUCAGGGUGGGGUAGGGAGAGUGGACAGAUGUGAGUCUAGGCAGGUGGGGGGAGAACAGAUCAUGCAGUGCAUUAUUGAAGACGUGUGUAUUUUCUACACAGUUUUUAAAAUAUUUUAUAUCCUAUGCACCCCUUUGCCCCAACUUAGGAAAUCUCCAGAUUCUUGGAAUUGGUUGAUAGAAGACCUUGAAAGUCUGUAGAGUAUGAAUUCUUUAGGAUUCAAUAGAAUAGAGGCGAAAUGAAAAAGGAUAGCAGAGUUGAUUCCUUUCAUGACCAAAUUGCACCCUUAAGAAUAGAGGAAGUGAAGACUGAGAAAGCACACAAAGAGGAGGUGGGGUCCAGUGACAACAUUCCCAACAUAGGUCUUCCUCUGUCUAGUCUUCUAUAUUGAGGCCUUCCUCGAUGUGGAACUACAAAUUCUCGUUUUCUUAAACAUUGAAGUGACUGAGUUCUGAAGGGUAGGAAAAUGGCAGGACUCCUCCUAUCUUGGACUGCAAGUGUCAAUCAGUGUUCUCCAUAAAGAAAAUUAAAAACCCUUUGGAUACUAGGAAAGUAGGAAAAAAGUCUGUUAAAAGCCGGGGUUUUCUUAAGACUUAACACCUCUUUCAUUCACUUCAUCCCUUUGUGUAUCAUUUUUAUGUCAAUAUAAAUUUUGUGAGUCUCAUUAAGUGUGCCCAUUAAAUUUACUCAGACCUGCUGUUGAAAGAAAAAGGCUUAACCAAAACCCUCUGUGCACAGAAAGCCUGCUCAGCAUCUUGAUUUUUUAAUUUUUUUAAAAGAUGAAAGAAGUUGAGGGGCGCCUGGGUGGCUCAGUUGGUCAAGCGACUGCCUUCGGCUCAGGUCAUGAUCCUGGAGUCCCAGGAUCGAGUCCCGCAUCGGGCUCCCUGCUCGGCAGGGAGUCUGCUUCUCCCUCUGACCCUUCCCCAUCUCAUGUGCUCUCUCUCAUUCUCUCUGUCUCAAAUUAAAAAAAAAAAAAAAAAAAAGAAUGUAAAAGAUGAAAGAAGUUGAAGAUGACGCAAAUGGAAAGAUAUACCAUGCUCAUGGAUUGGAAGAAUUAAUAUUGUCAAAACAUCCAUACUACACAAAGCAAUCUAUAGAUUGAGUGCAAUCCCUAUCAAGAUACCAGUAGUAUUUUUCACAGAACUAGAACAAAUAAUCCUAAAAGUUGUAUGGAAUCACAAAACACCCCAAAUAGCCAGGGCAGGCUUGAGAAAGAAGAACAAAGCUGGGGGUAUCACAAUCCCAGAUUUCAAGAUAUACUACAAAGUUAUGGUAAUUAAGACAUUAUGGUACUGACACAAACAUAGACACAGAUCAAUGGAACAGGAUAGAGAACCCAGAAAUAAACCCACACUUAUAUGGCCAGUUAAUCUAUGACAAAGGAGGCAAGAAUAUACAAUGGGGAAAAGACAAUCUUCUCAAUAAAUGGUGUUAAGAAAACCAGACAGCUACUUGCAAAAGAAUGAAACUGGACCACUUUCUUAUACUAUACACAAAAAUAAAUUCAAAAUGGAUUAAGGACCUAAAUGUAAGACCUGAAACCAUAAAACUCUUUAAAGAAAACAAGCAGUAAUCUCUUGGACAUUGACCUUAGCAGCAGUUUUCUAGAUAUGUCUCUUAAAGGCAAAGGAAAGAAAAGCGAAAGUAAACUGUUGGGACUAUACCAAAAUAAAAUCUUUUGCACAGCAAAGGAAACCAUCAACAAAACUAAAAGGCAGCCUGCUGAAUGGCAGAAUAUAUGUACAAAUUAAAUAGCUGAUAAGGGGUUAAUAUCCAAAAUAUAUAAAGAACUUACACAACAGCAAAAAGAAAGAAAGAAAAAAAAAGACCCAAUUAAAAAAUGGACAGAGGACCUGAAAAGAUAUUUUUCCAAGAAGACAUGCAGAUGACCAACAGACACAUGAAAAGAUACAUCACUAAUCAUAAGGAUAUGCAAAUCAAAACCACAAUGAGGUAUUACUUGACACCUCUCAAAAUGGCUAGUAUCAAAACAACAAGAAAUAACAAGUAUUGGCAAGGAUACAGAGAAAAAGGAACCUUCAUGAACCUUCAUGCACUGUUGCCGGGAAUGUAAAUUGGUGCAACCACUGUGGAAAACAGUAUGGAGGUUCCUCAAAAAAUUAAAAAUAGAAAUACUAUAUGAUCCAGUAAUUCCACUAUUGGGUAUUUACCCAGAGAAAAUAAAUAUGGUAAUUCGAAAAGAUAUAUGCACCCUUAAGUUUAUUGCAGCAUUAUUUGCAGUAGGCAAAAUAUGGAAGCAACUUAAGUGUCCACUGAUAAAUGGAUGGGUAAAGGAUAUGUGGCAUAUAUAUACAGUGGAGCAUUAUUCAGCCAUAAAAAAGAAUGAGAUCUUACUAUUUGUGACAACAUGGAUGGACCUAGAAGGUGUUAUACUAAGUGAAAUAAGUCAUCAGAGAAAGACAAAUACCAUAUGGUUUCACUUAUGUGGAAUCUAAAAAACAAGAUGAAUGAACACACAAAAAACCAGAGUUGUAAAUACAGAGAACAAACUGGUGGUUACCAGAGGGGAGGGGGUGGGGGGAUGGGCAAAAUAGGUGACAGAGUUGAGGUGCAGACUUCCAAUUUCAGAGUGGAUAAGUCACAGGGAUGAAACGUGCCGCAUGGGGAAUAUAGCCAAUAAUAUUGUAAUGGUGUUCUGUGGUGACAGAUGGGAAUUGCAUUUACGGUAAGCAUAGCUUAAUGUACGGAGCUGUUGAAUCACUGUGAUGUGUACCUGAAACUAAUGUAGCAUUGUAUAUCAACUAUAAUACAGUUAAAAAAAAAAAAAACCCUAAAAACCUCUGUGCACAGAAAGCCUUCUUGGCAUCUUGAUUUUUAAAUUUCUAUUUAAAUCACUGCCAAGAUAUUUAUCUUAUUUUAUCCUUAACAAAAUUCCCAAGAAGUAACAUAGACAAGAAAACUGAGGAACAAAGAAGCUAACAUUUACCUAAUGUGAUGUGGUACAGCCAGCUACUGGGGGGGCUAGGCUUUAGAGCCAAGACUCUUAGACCAACAUACAUACAGAUCUACCGGUUGUGUCGGUUUUUUAGACUACAUUUUGCUCAGGUAAUACAUUGGUCCCAAAUUUUGGUGGCUUACACAGCAAAGGUUUAUUUCUCACCCUUUGUUCUUUGUUCUAUCCUCUGAGAUCUCCUUGCUGUAUUGACCCUAGGAUCUAGGUCCUCUAUCUGGACCUUGCCAGUCUGGUGGCAGAGGAAAAAGAUACUGAACCCUGAACUCUCAAGUUCUUACAUGGAUCACUUACUUCUACACAAACUUCAUUGGCCAAAGUAAAUUGUCACUCCUAAGUUCAACAAGAUGAGAUGGAUAGUCCUGCAAAGAGUGGCUCUGUCAGUCACUUGACCAAGCUUGAGGGCCAUGGGAUGGGGAAGGAAAUCCUCUUCUACAGAGGGCAGGAAACAUUUUGAAUCCUAAGACUUCAUUAUACCAUCCUAGUCAGGGUAUCUACUUUAGAGCCAAAGGUCUUUAUUAUUUUUUAAUAUUGUUCCCAGUCCAUAAUGAUUUUUUUCACUGCCUUUGUCCUACUCUGAUUCCAGUUGGACAUGAUAGAAUGAUGAGAAAGAGUGUGUUAAGCAGCUAGGAUGAAUUGAAGGCAGAGGAUGUGAUUAUUCCUAUUGUUCACUCACAAUGAGCUUCCAGUAGCAUCCUCACUAAGUAAGGGUUGGUUGGUGACCUGAAAGACCUCUGUGCUGUUCUGUGGUGGCCCCAGCUCUGGGACUGUACUCUCUGGGAAAUGGUUUUGAGGCCAUUAGGACUUCCAGCUGCUUGACAGAAUUAUUUCCCUUGGGAUGCUUCCAAAUCUGUCCUUUCCCAGCCCAUCUGUUCUUAAAUGCAGAUGCAUCAGAUGGCACCCUUCUUUUCCUUGCUUUGUUUUCUGUCGCUGAGAAGUAGUAGUACUAUAUCACAUUUUGGUUAAGAACAUAGGCUCUGGAGCCAGACUGCUUGAGUUCUAGAGUAUCAGCUCUGCCACUUAACCACCUUUGUGACCUUAGGCAAGUUACUUACCUUGUGUACCUCCCAUUUGUUAGCUGUAAAAUAAUAAUAGUACCUUCCUCAAACAUUUAUAGGAUUAAAUAAGACACAAAGUAUUUGCAGUGAUGCAUGAAACAUUCAUCCUCAAUAAAAAGGAAAUGAAUAUGGAAAUAAUAAUGACUUUAUACCAAAGACUGGGAUCCAAGCAGAACUGCCAACCCACCCCAUCCCAGCUAGGGAGUGAGCAUUUGCCCCUUCUCCUCUCACCCACCUGAAAUGCAGUCCUCCCUUUUUCUAAUCAGAGCACACCUUGGAGGCACAGAUCCAGUCUACCCUCUCCUUGAAGCCUUGACCUGCCAAUCCAAGUUUUUGGUAAUUUUUCCCUCUCUGAAUUCCUGCGGCAGUGAUCCCCUGCAACACUUGUGUGUCACCCUUAGUGUUCUGGCGUCUCUGCACCACCCCCACUUUCUUUAAGCUCCUAUUUAAAACAAAUAGGGAUGAUCCCAGGACCAUCCCAGGUCCCCAAGAUCCUGUGAAUGUUUUUUAAAAAAUCUCUCAUUACCACAAGCAUUUGUUCUGCUAGCCUUGACUACAUUCAUGCAUUCUUAGCCUAUGUUAUCAGAUUUAAGGGAAGAGACUGUUGUGCACCCCCCCAUUAAUAAACAUAUGACUGAGUAAAAAUUGGUCCUUUGGAUAAGACUUGUGCCAGCCCACUUUCUCUCAGUCCACCUUUUAAUUCAUGCUGUUGCUAUGUGAAUUUCAGGCAGGUGUAGACCACGUAUCUAUAGCUUUCUGCCCCGGACUUCUCUGCUGUAGUCACCUGGGUUCUGCCUAGUUAUUUUGACCUAUGUGCACAUCUGGAUGUCCAAGAAUGUUUCCAUCCCAUGGGCCAACACUUGCCUGGUGGAGGAUGGAAGCUGGUGGACAAGUAUUUCUCUCUUUUGUCACUAACUUUGACAAUUCUGAGGCACAAUGUAUAUGGCUCCUCAGAGGGUCCCACAUGGGCCCCAGCCCCAGUCCACAGGGGUGAUUAGCUCCGAAUAUAUACAUUUAGGGUGGCUGUGCCUCCUUUCCUGUUUUAUCCUUCUUAGUCUCCACUCCUGUUCUUUUGGAUCACUUCUGCAAAUAACUGCUUGCAUGUAAGCCCUUGUCUAAGGACCCUGCAUUUUGAUGAAGACACCUUGUUUCCUUUUUGGGGCUCUUUUACCUUAUGCAAAUGAGGGAGCAUGAAUGUUACUUUGUAACAUACCAAAUUACUUUGGACUUAAAAAAAAUAUGCUGAGGGGGCACCUGGGUAGCUCACUCAUUAAGCGUCUGCCUUCGGCUCAGGUCAUGAUCCCAGGGUCCUGGGAUCGAGCCCCGCAUCGGUCUCCCUGCUCAGCGGGAAGCCUGCUUCUCCCUCUCCCUCUCCCCCAGCUUGUGUUCCCUCUCUCACUGUGUCUCUCUCUGUCGAAUAAAUAAAUAAAAUCUUUAAAAAAAAAAUAUGCUGAGAACAAACUGAUCUUUCUUUAAUCAGGGUCUUAGUACUUGUAGGAGGGAAGACUUCAAACUGUUGUCAAAAGUUAGGCUCAGAGGGCGCCUGGGUGGCUCAGUUGGUUAGGCGACUGCCUUCGGCUCAGGUCAUGAUCCUGGAGUCCCGGGAUCGAGUCCCGCAUCAGGCUCCCUGCUCAGCGGGGGGUCUGCUUCUCCCUCUGACCCUCCCCCCUCUCAUGCUCUCUCUAUCUCAGUCUCUCUCUCAAAUAAAUAAAUAAAAUCUUAAAAAAAAAAGUUAGGCUCAGAAAAGAAGAAAACUGGAUACGUCAUGUAAUCUUUUCUAUAAUUUUCAUUUCUACUUCUUGGAGUGGAACCCAAACUCUGGAUGGAAGUGCUUGUCUCUGAGUAUAUAACCCCUACUUUGUACUUUGUUCUGUAACUUCUUUAAUGUACCCAUUUCAAGUCAAUUACAUAUUUUAUAAUCUAGAAACUAGAUACAGAGUGUAUGGGGGAAAUAUGUUUUUGAUACAUGAACUGUGACUUGGGCCAAAGUUUAAAA